ACGAGAAGUUUCCAAAGUAGAAAGGAGUCAAACACCCUGGGCUCACCUCGAUCAAGGGAUCAAGUUCUCAGCACAAGUGAUAAUCCUGAGCUACACAACACUGCUAGUUCUCUGAAGACCAGAAUGGAAAACAUUCUGAAAGGGACGGCGUGCACCAGAGAACAAAUUGCAGCGCUGCCAAGCGCUGGUUGGUGGCCAAGCAUGCACUCAAGGUAUAUGAAACAAGACUUGCUUCCAAGACUUUUUGCAUUUCAUCUUAGAAGCUGUUUGCACUGGAUUUCUCAGUCUCCUGUUCACAAAUUGUUCUGAAUCUGAUGAGAUGUUAGUACCAAGGGAGUUUGGAUUUUUACAGAUGUGCAAUUUGACUUGCAAGCCUAAAGCUCCGACCCAAAGAUCCAUGGAAUUUUUGCUUUUUCAUUCUUAAAAUGAUGUGCAGGCUGGGUUUUUGCUGGUGCUCGUGACACCUGGCUUCAAUAGCAGUGAUGCUCAUGGCCAUGGGCUCAUGUAUUUGAAAUUUCAGUGGAAAUUGCUCUACUAGUGACAGCCAUUUUGCUAAGGACAGACAUAAGGCAAAAAUUUUAAAUCUCUUGUACUUAAUGAAGUAUAAACUUCAAUGAGAGAAAAGUGUAAGUUCUGUGUUAGCAGUAGGGGCCUAUUUAAGUUAAAAACAACCCUUUAUUGCUGGGCUCAUUUAAACGGAGUCCACUGCCUAUUCAGACGUGGUGUUCUCAUAACUCAUCUAAAUAAAGGGAACAGUUGCAAAGGAGAAACACAGACAUCUGCCUUCAAGAGAAGAUUGCUAUUGGCACAUGAGCAAUCUCAUAACAGCUCAGAUGCUCUGCUUCAAUAUCUGAGCAUUCUCAGAGCUAGGCUGGAGUUGUACCUUAUUUUACAAGCCUAAGGCAGGAGGCUGCAUUUCUGGUUCCAGACUGGGCUCACUCUUCUUCCUGUUUUUUUCCCUGUACCUUUUCUCUGGUGACACUGAUAUGGAAGAGCAUAUUGUUAUUAAACUGAGUAAGGAUAAAGCCUAAUUCCAGUUACCUUAUGAAAACAGCAUAAGUAAUGACUAUAGUAUAGGAAAACAAAACAUUAGAAUCCCUUCAUUUAAAAGAACAAAGAGAACUUUGAGCUGGACAAGGUCAAAUACUACACUUUGUUUUUCCCACUGUGUAACUGAAAUAAGACUUAGGACAAAAUUCUGUUCUUGCUGACUGAGAAUGCUGAGAAUGCACUGUCAGAUGGCUGACAUUUUAUCAAGGUGACAAAUGUUUCAAAUGUUAGAUUUUUUUUUUUUAAACAACAUGAUUCAGAUCAAGGACAUGAAAAAAUAUGGUAUGGAGAAGAGACAGUAAAACCCUAUUAACUCUUCCAUGUAAACAUACAGGCUGUAUUCUGAACAAAGGAUUUCAAUCAUGUGAACCCCCAAAGCCAAUCUACCCAUAUUUCAUUCACACUGGAAUUUUGGAAGUUCUUGAAAGUCCACAAUGUAAACUUUUAAUAAACACUCUUAAAGUGUUUAACUGAGUCAGGAAACUCCUAUAAAAAGGGGGGACCUAGACUUUAUACAGGGUGCUCAUAGGGGGACUUAAAGAAAAAAUUAAAUGCAUAGAGUA